rnacentral:tRNA from 1 species
GGAGGGCUGGCAGAGCGGUUGAAUGCACCAGUCUUGAAAACUGGCAAGGGUUUACGCCCUUCGUGAGUUCGAAUCUCACGCCCUCCGCCA